GUUCAUCCAUCUUUCUCUAAAAUUUCCUCUGGUUCCUCUAUCGUACUCGAUUUGGUUUCUCUAAAAUUUCCUAAUGCAGAAACUGGUUGUCUUUCUGGCGUUGAAUCUAAGCGAUGAUGAAUGCAAAAAAAGAGUCAUUGAAGCUGCUUCUCUUUCUGCGCGUUAUUAGAGGGUCUUGACAUAACGGUGGACUCGGAAAAACUCUGAUUAACAAUAACCGGAAAAGUUGUUAAUCAUGAAUAGGCAGAUUAAACUUGGUUUGUACUGCAGCAGUAGUUUCAUUUGAGCCAGGACCGGAACCAGCUGAAGCAAGGAAAAACCCUACAGAUCAUGUAGUUGACCUAUAUCAGGCUUAUGGUCAACCGGCAGCGAACAUGGUGGGUAAUCUUUGUAGGACUUUAGGUCCACCGGCAGCGAACAUGGCAGGUAAUCUUUGUAAGACUUAUGGUCCACCGGCAGCGAACAGGGCGAUCCAGUUAGGACAGAUUUGCUAUUCAACAGUUGUUCGAGACAAGAAACCAAUACCUAAACACGAAGGAUUACGUACAAAAGUUAAUAAGCACCAUCGCGAAAAUCCAGAUAAAGCGAAAUGGUUCACGUGCCCACAAGGAGCAGCAAGAAUAUUUGAGCCAGAAAAUAAUAAAAGGGUGUUUCAGCUUCCAGUUUUUUUUUUGGUUAAUUAGCUUGAAUUUGAAUUAUUGGAUUUAUAAAACCUAAAAAUACUGUUUAAAUAAUUGUAACUGACAAGCGUACCCUCUCUAUUCAUUCUAUUUCUUUUUGUUCUUUUAUUGGCUUAUUGCUACUCUCUCCUUGUGCACGCCCCCUUUCAAUGGAUAUGAUGGUGAUACAAAGAAGAAGAAAGAAGAAACGAUUCCGAACCAACACAAAGAAAACUCUUCAUUGGAGAAAAAAUUGAAGUAAAUGAUUGAUUGAUUGAUUUUCUUGGGGAAAAGUUUGAUUCAAAACAGUAAUUUUCAAUUCUAGGGUUGGAUAGAACAACAUCAGCAGAUUAAUGGGACGAUUUAUGUCGACAAGGAAGCUGCUCUAGCUCUUGAAUUAGCGAUUGAGAAAUGAAUUUGGGAAGUGGAAUCAAAGUCUGUAAGAUUGCUAGAAUGGAUUCAAUUUAGGUAGGGAUCGUUAAUGGAUUUAAUUAAUUAAGAAAUGGGGUUCCUUGUUAUGGAUCUAGUCUGGAUUUAAUUAAGAAAUGAAGAAGGUGCAAGGCUGAAUUGAUUCAAAGUAGGGUUUGAUGUUUGAGAAAUUGUCUCCAUAACUAACUGUAGAGAGAAGAUGAGUUUGAAGUGAUUUAUAUUUCUCAAUUAAGAAAAACACAGCAAAUUAUUGAUUUGUAAGUAUGACUUUUUUUUUAGUUUUGGUGAAUGCGAUCAUAAUGAGACAGGUGAAUCAAAGAUGGCUAAGGAGGUCAAAUUCAUGGAGACAAAGUUGCAUGGUAAGAAGCUGAAGGACCCAUUUGUUACCACUGCACGAGAUGAGGAAAAAUCUAACCAACAACUGCUACUGCGUGAAGCUGCCGUAUCUCUAAUUCAUGUAAAUUUUGAAGGAAUUAAUUAUUUUUUGUUUCUGGAUUGCAGGGCACAAAAGAUAACCCCCAUGUUCCUGGAUUGAAACCAGAGUCUCGUAUAUCUCAAGUAGCAGUACAGGCAACGAUGGAAAUCAACAAUCAAAGAGUCGUCCUUUGGGUGCGUUUAGGUCAAAAAAAAAAAAAAA